rnacentral:lncRNA from 1 species
GGUAAAUCUCUCCAAACAUCAGGCUUAGUUGUAAAAGAAGGUUAAUCACACCCAUUAAUGCCUGUAGCCCCUCCCCUGGGGUGGUUACCAAAGUGCUAAGACUCCCUGUACUCAUGGAACACACAAUGCAGGCAAGCAGAACAUGAAAGAAAUGCUAACUAUCAAAUGUGGUAGAGGGAGGAAAAUCUGUCUGGAGGCUGGCUCUUCUAUUGCUCCUGGGCUGAUCACAACCUGAGGCAUCCGUGCUGAAAAAGUCUGACGCCAACAAAAUGUAGAUGAACUGCGGGAACAGACAUGAGGCCACAGUGGCAGAUCAAAGUGAGGCAGCCCAGGGAGCAGGCUCCACUGAAUAAGACGAGGCAUUACCAUAAUGAAUUUUUAAACAAUCUUCUGCAUCAGUGACUUAAGAAGAGGAACUUGAAAUGAUCUUCUUUAAUCCUCACAAAGGUCCUGUGAAGGCCAUGGCUUUACCCAAGAGGAAGCCGAGUAGCAGAAGGAUUCUGUGAAUGGUCUGGAGUCCAAAGUAAGUGACAACAUGAGGCUGCACAAGCUCUCAGCUUAUUCCUCUCUGUCUGUGUUCUGUAAAACUCUGGUUCUGAAAUAUGUUACUAAGUGUUAGUAAAGGAAUUUGGGGACCACAGGAUUAAAUAGAAGUGACUGCUGUAGUUAUUGCCUUUUUGUAGCAGGGCUGCUCAGAACCUUGAAUAUACUAAUGUAAAUUGUGACUGUCCAAGAUGAGAAAGUACUGUAAGCUUUCACAGCUUACUUGAGCAGGAAACCCUAUCUUUCCAGAGCUUUCUUGGAAAACACAGCCAUGGACCUUGUUCAGCCCCCUACCCAGGGUGCCUACCUUCCAUUAGCUUCCAGAUGCAAUCAUUUGUGAUCCUUGAGGUUUUAAGUCUAGUAGCCAGGAUUCAAUGGUAAAAACAAUACUCAUUUGAUUCAACAGUUAUUUGUUAAAGACAUAUGAUGUGCUUAGCAUUUUGUUAGCUACUGUGUGCUAGAAAAGCAUUGAAAAGUUCCUAUUCUUGGGACAAU